AAAAUCUUCUCUGGACAAACUGUGCCUAUUGAAUGAUUUAUUGUGUAAGAUAUUUAUAGUUUGAUUUAACUUUAGUCAAGGAAUACAGUGAAGUAAAGUAGGAUCAAAGCAG